UCCAAAAUCUUAUCCAUACACCCAAACCCAACCUUCACCCGACCCUCAGCCUGAUGGCUUGCAGACCCAUUUCUCCACAAGCAUGGUGUGGAUGCGUCUCGCCGCGCGACUCGAGGAUGCGGCGCCCUGUGCUCGUUUGCUCCCUCCGUUGCUCCAUCUCCUCCGAUUCGUCGGCCUCCGCGAGCCCUGUCCAAUCGAUGCUGCUGCCCGUCCCUAGUCUCCUACCCAAGAAGACGCUGAAGCAGGAGGGCCGCUGCCGCCAGAUGCAGCAGGAGCGGAUCUACAUCGUAUCUACAGAUUUGCUGCCUUCUUAAUUGAUUUCUUUGUUUCUUGAUCAAUUCAUGGGAGCGUUCUUAUCUAGUUUCUUUGUUUUUGGUUCGAUUUGAUGGGUGAUUUCUUUUGGUUGUAGAUGGAUUCAUGGGAGACAAACAAGAUAGGCUGUGAAUCCAUUUGUUUCGCUCUUUGUUUUUGGUUUGAUUGACAGGUGAUUUCUUUUGGUUGUGAAUGGAUUCAUGGGAGACAAACAUGAUAGGUUGUGAAUUCAUUUCUUUCGCUCUGGCUUCCACGGUAUGUUCUUCUAGAGAUUUCAGUUUUUGUCUUGCAUAUUCUUUUAGAUUUCUUUUUAAUCUUCUCUCGGUGGUUUACUGAUUGGAAUGGUCACUUUAUUUUUCUGUAUCUUGAACUGUAUCUUGGAUCCUUUCUCUCCCUGUUUUGCUGUCUUCCAAGUUGUGUUCUUGUUCUUGUGGAAAUACUUUAUGAUUUCGUUAAAAUAUAUGCAGUCCUAUUUGGAUUUGGACAAGAAUUCUAUAUAUACUUAUACGGACUGGAUUUGGAUUGUCCUAUACGGAAUAGUGGCGGACUGGAUUUGGAUUGUCCUAGACUGGAUGACUUAAAGAAUUCUAUAUACGUGAACUGGAUUUGAACUCGGCGGAGAGAUCGGACAUGGUGGCAGAAAAAAUUGUAUUGUCAGACUGAAAUUUUGGCUCUUUAUAAAUAGGUUUCUUCGGUUUGAACAGACUAUUCGACUCACCUUGUAAAGAACCGAUCUGUAUGAGAAGUAACAAUAUGUUUCAAAACCUAAAUGUUUGACAGUUCUAUUUCUAGUUCUGUUGUAUGUAUUACUACCAUAGAAUGGUCGUAAACUGGCAUUAUCUUGUAGAGUCGCAGUGUUAGCUGUCAUUUUACUUUGAGAAGGAAUCCUAUAUAUAUUCACAUGUCGCCAUGGUACUAAACUACUAAUACUGAAAAGGAUCAGAGCAGAACAAAACAAAAUUUUGAAGAA